GUUGGGUUAAGUCCCGUAACGAGCGCAACCCUUGUCCUAGUUACCAGCACGGUUAUGGUGGCACUCUAAGGAGACUGCCGGUGACAAACCGGAGGAAGUGGGGAUGACGUCAAGUCAUCAUGGCCCUUACGGCCUGGGCUACACACGUGCUACAAUGGUCGGUACAAAGGGUUGCCAAGCCGCGAGGUGGAGCUAAUCCCAUAAAACCGAUCGUAGUCCGGAUCGCAGUCUGCAACUCGACUGCGUGAAGUCGGAAUCGCUAGUAAUCGUGAAUCAGAAUGUCACGGUGAAUACGUUCCCGGGCCUU
rnacentral:rRNA from 1 species